AUCGCUUCUCAGCCUUUUGUCUGAUAUCAAAUGCGGCAUCUGUUCUUAACAGUUUCAGAUCUCACACACCCUCUCACUGGGGACACAUAGGACACCAAUUCCCGGAGCAGAGCGGUGGAAUAGAUGCUUGCUUGCUCUGUCCACUCGGUGCCUGGGCCUGGUAUCGCUGUCCUUCCAGGAAUGGUGUUUCCCGA
ensembl:snRNA U2 U2 spliceosomal RNA